ACAUGGUUUAUCUUUCCAUUUAUUUAGGGCUUUAAUUGCUUUCAUCAGGACUUUGUAGUUUUCAGGAUACUGAUUUAUACCUAGGUAUUUUGGGGUGCUGUUAUAAAUGGCAUUGUUCAUUUUCUCUCAAUGCCCAAUUGUUCAUUGGUAAUAUGUAGAUAUAUAAUUGAUUGUAUGUUGUUGACUUUGUUCCCUGGUACCUUGGUCAGCUCAUUUAUUAGUUCCAAGGAGCUUAUUUGUCGUUUCCAUGGGUUCCUCUAAAUAGACAAUCAUAUCUUCAAUGAGUAAUGGCCGUUUUCUUUCUUUCUUUAUACCAUGUGCCUUUUCUUUUUCUUGCCUUAUCGUACUAGCUCAGACUUCAUCUGUUGUGUUGACUGGAAUGCUGUGAGCAGACAUCUGAGCCCCACCCCCAUCUCCAGAGGAGACAGUCUUCCACCAUCAGGGAAUAUUCAAGGUAUCUGCAAGCACCCAAUUCGGAUUACUAAACCGCAGAAUUUUAAAGACUUUUCACAGAUUGAAUUGCGCAUUCUUGCACACUUAUCUGGGGAUCCGGAACUUUGGAAGCUAUUCCGGGAAUCUGAAAAAGAUGAUGUAUUUUCUACCCUGACUUCACUGUGCCGAACAGGAAUCUAGAUUUGGCUUCAUUAAGUUGGAGAACCUCUGACCUUUUGCCUGCCCUGGCCCCUGGGUACCCACCGUGACUCUGCCCAUCUGUUGCUAGCGGGCCAAAGGCAGGGGACCUGAAUAGACAUUUUUCCAAAGAAGACGUACAGAUGGCCAACAGACACCUGAAAAAAUGUUCAACAUCCUUCGUCAUCAGGGAAAUGCGAACCAGAACCACAAUGAACUAUCAUCUCACCUGUCAGAAUGGCUAAAAAAUAAAAGACAAGAAAUAAGCCUGACACCGCGAAACAGUCAUCGUACUUUGUGUUAGGCCACUUCAGACACUUCUGCGCCUGGCAGGGUCAGCAGACCCAGGGUCCCGUGGGCAGACGAGCCGACUACCCCCUCACCCAACAAGCAGGUGCGAAAGCAGAAUCACCCCGUUGCCACCCCGUGGCCAGGCAGCCAGCAGGAGGCCACAGACUGAACUUGCCGUACGUCUCCCGGACACUUUCAUUCUUUCGUGAGAAACUUUGCUUGUUUCCUCAAUUUUUUAAAGUUCUUCGUACCUUAGGGGUGUUAGUCCAUCCCUGAUGUGACAAAUAUUUUCUCCUAGUUUGUUGUUUGUCUGUUGACUCUGCCUGUGGUAUCUUACGCAGCACAGAAGAUGCGGUGUUUCGGUCGUUGGCGGUGGUGACCUGUCAGUCUUCCCUCUCACCGCCUCUGGACUUAAGUCCUUACAUCCAGGUUACAAGGAAUUUGCCAUGUUUCCUGGUGCCUUUCCCAAACGGCUCUCCAGCUGUCCCAGCACCACGUACCGGGAGGCCCGUCUUUGCCUGUGCCCGAACUCUCCGUCCUACUCUGGCGCCGUGUCCCUCCGUGCGCCUGUAGCGCACCGCUGCACGGUAGAGGGCCCGCCGCCCGCGUCAGCGCCUGGGUGGCCACGUGCCCCCGGCUCUCCCGUUUCCGUGCAUUCGUUUCCCAUGUGCACGUCGGUUUCCCACAUGGGCUCGUGGCUGGUUCCGUGGAAAAGCUUGUUGGUAUUUUCAGUGAGAUCACAUUAAGUCCACAGGUUAGUGUAGGGAGAGCUGGCAUCUUGGUAAUGUUGGCACAUUUCAGCCAAGAACAAACGAGGUCCUCUCGUCCAUCGUGUCUUCUGCUACGGCUGUCGGUGUCCAUGAAAGCUGUUGACUUGCUGUGCUCGCUUGACUUCCUGCUACUUUAUGAAUUAUUUUAUCGUUGAUCCUCUAGGAAUUUCCGGAAUAUUACCUUGUCAUCUGCAGCUACAGAUAGUUUUCUUAAAUUUUUCCAAUUCUUAUGCCUCUGAUCAUUUGGCUAAUACUUCCAGAACAACGUUAAAUAGUAUUGGCAGUAGUGAGCACUCUUGCCUUGCUUCUGACCUUAGUAAGAAUGCCUCUGGUGUCUCCCCUUUAGUGAGACGCCAGCCCUAGCGUUGGGGCGUAGGGGUCAUAAUUUUAAGGAAGUAUCCCGCUAUUCCUAUUUUCUCAAGGGUUUUUAGCAGGAGUGGGUAUUGAAUUUUGUCAUAGGAUUUUUCAACAACUAUGUAGACAACCAUGUAAUUUUCUCCUUAGUGCUAUUAAUGUGGUGAGUUCUAUCAACAGAUAUCCUAACAUUGAACCAACUUUACUUUCCCGGUGUAAACUCUGCUUGGCCAUGGGUACUGUUUUCUCAGUGUGGUGUUGGACUCCAUUUGCCAAGAUUCUACUUAGGAUUAUUACAUCAAUCAAUAUUCAUAGGAGAUGGGGUCUGUGAUUUUCCUUUAUUAUACUCUCUGUCAUGUUUUAGUAUAACCUUUAUACUUAAUGAAAGACAUUUUUCUUCAUCUUCUAUGCUCGGAAGCAAUUUACACAGCAUGGGGACUAUAUGGUCUCUGAGGUUCGAUAGAAUUCCCCUUUAGGACCACCCAGGUCAGUGGGUUUUGUGGGGUAGUUCCUUCAUCGUUUUCUCUGCUUCUUCUGUGGCCAUUCUUCCGCGGUCUGUCUCGCUUUUGUCUCUACUCGGUCCAAUUUUUAUAAUUGUGCUUUCUUCAGAAAUGUCCGUGUCACGUAAGCUUUUACAUUUAUUUGCAUAGAGUUCUGCAAAAUAAGAUGUUUUUAACUUCUUGCAUGUCUGUGUUUUCCCUUCUUGUGUUUCUUCUUUUGUGUAUCUGUGCUUGCUUCCUUUUGAUUAAAGCAGCUAAUGGUUUGUCCAUUUUAUUUUUCACAGAAACGAGGAUUUUUAUUUAUUAAUUUGAUCUAGUGUUUUGCUGUUUUCUACUGCAUUAAUUUCUGUUUCUGCCUUUAUUCUAGCUUUAUGGUUUCCCUCCUAUGUGAUCUUUCGAUUUGCUUUGUUGUUCUUUUCUUGUCUUUUGAGUUGAAAACCUCAUUCAUAUGCAGCUGGCCCUCAACACAGGUUUGAGCUGCACGGGCCCACGUACGUGUGGAUUGUUUUGCUACAGGAUAGGACUAGAGAUGUAUUUUCUCUUCCUGAUGAUUUUUCUCAUAACACUUUCUUUUCUCUGGCUUACGGUAUUGUGAGAAUAGCUUCUAUGACAAAGACACACACCAAAUAUGUGUUCAUUGACUGUUUGGGUCAUCAGUAAGGCUUUCUGUCAGCAGGAGGUUCUCAAUAGUUAAGUUUGGGGGAAGUCAGGAGUUAUAUGUGGAUUUUCAGCUGUGUGUGGAGGGGGGGGUCACCACACUAACCCCCAUAUUGUUGAAGGGUCAAUUGUACUUUUAUUCUUUCAGUUAUUAAUAUAGGUGUUUAGAGCUAUGACAUUUCCUCACCGCUUUAAAUGUAAUCCACUGGGCCUGACAUACAGUGUUUUCAUUAGAAGUGAAUGUAAUUUCUGUUUGUAUUUUUCUUCACCCAAAAGUUGUCUGAAAGAAGUGUUUUUUGUUUUAUUUCUAGGGAGAUGGGGUUCGUGUUUUUUAUUUCUUUGGUUUGGUUUGGGUUAUAAUUUUAGUUUUCUUGCGCUGUAAUCAGAAUGUUAUUUUAACAUUUUUACUUUGUGCAACCUUUUGAUGUUUUCUGUGUGUCCUAAUGUAUGAUGGGUUAUUGUGAAUAUACCGUGUGUGCUCCAGAAGACAGUAUACUCUCUACGAUCAGAGAGCGGCUUUGAUGUAUGUCCACAAUAUCUAUUUAUUGGUUGUGCUGUUUGGAUCUUGUCACACUUUGGGAAGAAGCAGGCUCUGAGAGUUUAAUCCUGCUUCAGCAGACAGCUUUCUGACUCUGGACAGCACUGACGUUCCCUCAGAGAACAAGGGAGGGGGGCUCGUGCAGACACGAGGGGAGAAUUCAUCUCCCUGCCACGGAGACCCUCUGUUCAUUCAAGGAAAGGCAGCAAAACGGGGCAAGCUUCCAGUGUGAGAACAUCGGGCAGACGUGUGGUGAGAGCCACCUCGCAUUUGCGGUGUGACCGUGGCUCCAGGACGUAAGUGACUCGCCCACGAUGGGUCCGGAAUGCGCCUCACGCCGGCCCGCCCAGCCCCCAGCCCGGGCUCUGCACGCCGCUGCGUCUGCUGGACCCCACGCCCGCAGAGCUCACCCUCGCGCUUCUCCUUCGCUCCGCGGUCCCUUCUCGGCUGGUCUUGGCCACUACAGCGGCCAUCUGUUCCCGGGUGACACACUGAUGGCCACUCGGUGUUUGCGGGGCUCCAGGGCGGUGGUCUCACCUGAGCUGCACCGGGGGGCACACCAGCAGCCCUCAGCUCUUGCCGCAUGAGUCCCCACGCUACCGCAAGGUGGCCUGGCUCUUGACAGCCAGCAGGAAGAUGCUACACGCUGACGUCUGUGAUCAGGUCACAUACCCGUGACCUCCACUGAGCCUGGUGAGAGGCAGGGGCAGGUCUGCCCACCCUCCAGGGCAGGGGUCACACGAGGGCGCGAAGACCAGCAGGCGGGACCGUGGAGGCCCCUUGAGGAUCUGUCUGCUACACACCCCUUUCUGAACUUGGGGCCCCGGGCUGCACGCGGCCCUCCACAAGCCCCCACGGCCCACUGUCCCAAGGAGUCCCGUGACACGGGAGCUCUGCCAGUGCUGCCCACGACUGGACACAUGAGAAAUACUGAACAAAUCCAUGAGCUGAGUCGUCUUCGGACCCUACUUGUGAAAACAUUUUGUGUACACAGUUUUUCAGAAACUUUGCUUUAAAGAACUGAACUCGGGGAGCCUGGGUGGCUCAUCGGUUGGGCGACCGACAUCCGCUCGGGUCAUGAUCUCACGGUUUGUGGGUUCGAGCCCCGCAUGGGGCUCUGUGCUGACAGCUCAGAGCCUGG